rnacentral:lncRNA from 1 species
CACAGUGACCCUUUUGCUGACACAGUGUGGGUAAGUGUGUGGUCCUCUUUAAGAGCUGCUAAAGACAAGUCAGUGUUCAAACACACAAUGCACUGAUUCACCUUCCCUUUCCCAUGGAGAAUUCCCAAAAGUGAAUCUCUCAGUCAGUGUGUGUGAGGCGUCCUAGCAUCACUGCACAGAGCCCAAGUAGGUUAUGUCUGGAGUAAAGCAGGGUUUGCCCUGGGCAUGGCUGGGCAGGUUCAAGGCCAAGACCAGGUGCCUGUGGCUCUGGUGAGGAUGCUGGGUUGUGCAGGUCAUGUGGGAUCCUGUGGGAUCGAGUGUCAGGCCUGGGUUCACACCAGAGUCAGCAACAGUGGAGUCUUGAGUGGCCAGCCUCCUGCUGCCCCUCUGAGGGGAUGCCCCAGAGGGCUAGGGCUCCCCCUAGGCCACCUCUGCAAGGUCCCCAGCAUCAUUUCCCCACCCUGGACCAAGCCUUACAUGUGGACCUUCAGAGACACACACCUAAACCACAGCUGGUGGGAGAGAAGCUCACCAUUGGAAGUCAACAGACCACACAAUCCAUAA